GACCCUAUAGCUCAGUUGGUAGAGCAUCCUAGAUAUUAUGGGAAGGUCCUAGGUUCAAAUCCUGGUGUGGUCA
rnacentral:tRNA from 1 species